CAUACGCCCAUCACCGUAAGGUCCUGAUGGGCAGGCUCUAGAAGGAAGGCUGUGGGUCUCUAGCUGUGAUGCUGACUGACCCCGGGCAGAUCGCUUCCCUUCUCUGGUCAUCCAACUCCUCAUCAGUUGAAAGAGGCAGUGGCUGCCAUUGUUCUUCAUGAUGUCCUGAGCGUGGUCUUUGAAUCCAGUGCAGAGCUGUUAGCAAGACGCUUCCUGAGGAAACACAGUGAAAUGCUUUGGAAUGAGAGACUGCUGUGUCAGUGAGGGUACGCUGUAUGGAACCUCAAGAAGCAGCUUUUUGAACUCGCCAGCAGGAAGGGGAGGAGAUAUUCUGGAUGGUUCUGCCUACAAAAGUACCACCCAUCUCUACCUGAUUGCAGGAUGCCCACCUAGGUACUGGGCACACAAUGUGUCCUAGAAUAAUAGAGAGGGGACAAGAUUGUGCAGUUACUCUUAGCAAUGGCCAUCAGUUACAUUACUCAGGAGGCUAUGGCAAGGAGGGACAUGAGUUCAAAGCCUAUCUGAGCUAAAGAGGACAGCCCAGGGAAAUUAUUUGAAAAUUUUGUCUCAAAAAACAAAACAACAACAACAGAAAUGGGCUGGGGACAUGCAUGGCUCAGUUACAGAGUACUCUCCUAGUAUACUCGAAGUUCCCCAGUCCUACAACAAACUAACUAAAAAAUAAUAUUUCUUGACCUUGUGUUCCAUCUGAAAAUAUUGGUAUUAAAAUUAUAAUCUAUGUAUUGUUACUAGUCUUGGUUAUUUUCAUAAUGGAUGUUGAGCUUUGAUAAGAGACCUACAAUCUAAAGACUUCUUUAACCACAACAGAGAAAAAAAAGAAGCAUGUAGUGAAUGAGAGAGGAAAGAGUUACAGCAGAAUCAUGCCCUGACUAGAAGGUACUAGGGCAGUCAGGAAACCCAACACUUCUCUCUGGUUUAGGCCACCAUUAAGAUUUCCCACCAACUUAACACACCACAGUUCUUCUAGAGAACGAUUAAUUUAUUCCCAUCUGUAUUGAGCAGAUGGAUAGUGGAAGGGUCAGCUUAUUUACCCUAGAGCUCAGAGAGAAAAUGGACCACAGGAAACAUGCUGCAUACACCUGGACAGGACGUAACCAAGGAGACCAUGCAUGAAGAGCCGAGUGUAAGUCUGGAAGAGAUGAUCAGCGUGGGGAGGGACCCAACAGCUGUGUCACAGAGCUGAGAUGAUCGCCUGGGAUGAGUGGCUUGGCUUAGUGUGUGUGUGUGUGUGUGUGUGUGUGUGUGUGUGUGUGUGUGUGGUAGUUAGACUGUGAGGGUACAAACAGCUCCUGCUUCUGUGGCUCUGGCUUUCAGGCCCACUCAGGAACAGGAAACAAGGUCUGUCUAAGGAAGGGAGCCAGGAUAAGAACCUGCACACCUUCAGGGAAAGUGUGGGUUAGGAAACAAAAUGAAAUAAAACUACCUGUCUGAUGGCUCAGCAAGAUACUAGGAACGCAGAUAUUUCCUCUGCUGGGCCCUUGGUGAACCAGGGCUCUCACACAGGUUAAAUCUGAAUCUGUAUAGCCCAGAAGGAUGGAGACUCACAAGCUAAAGUCUUCAGAUAAAAGGGAACCCAGGCUGCUUACCAGUUUGAUUUACCCCGAGAGUAAAAGUGGUAAUCCUUUGCUGAAGGACUUCUCCAGAAUCUAGGAUGAGAGGAAUUGCACAGAGUGCACAAGCCAC
rnacentral:lncRNA from 1 species